UAUCACUUUCACUGUUUCCAGCCGCCAUUCUGGGAGCAGCAGAGGCAAUACCCGAGGGACUCAAUAAGGGCACAGGUCCUGCUGAGCACUCUGUCUCCAUCUUUCCUUUGGGUCCCUCCAAGUCCUGCUCAGCUGCUGUGAGGCCUCCAGGCUCCCUCACCUCGCCUCUGCUGGCACUCCUUUCCCAGAAGCCGCCUUCCUCCGAAAAUCUUUAUGGCUUUUCUCUCCCUGCUGUCCCAGACUAAAAUCACCCUUACAUCUCCACAGCAGCUCCUCUCCAUGUUUCUAUGACCAUGCAAUAACGCAUCCCAGCUCCACCAGGCUGCCGGGCCUUGGUCCUGCAGGGAAACCCGCCGGUGGCCGGUCGGCAGGAACCACGAUAACUAGGAGGAUGGAUCCACCAACGGACGGGACGACACCCAGAGCACUACAGUUCUCAAGGGUUUAUUGCAGCAGUUUCCCAUGGCAUCCCUGACAGAUCCCCUCCAGGACCACCUCCCACACAGCUCAGGACUGCCUCCAUAAAUAAAUUCCAAA